rnacentral:lncRNA from 1 species
GCGUAGUGCAGCCCGUCCCUAGCGGUGGGCUGUCACAAAUCCUCCUCUGCAUCCCAGGAGUGCCGCUUGGUCCUCGGGCUCGCAGCGUGGCCCACACCUGGGUCGGGCCUCUCACGGGGACGCUCCCGCCACUGUGAUAAAGAGGAGAAAACGUCACAGGGGAAGGGCCUGACCCUGCUGCAUCCAUUUUUUAGAUUAAGUACUGCACGACUACUCGCUUCUGAAACUGUCAUAAGAAACUGCCUCAGCUCCCUGCAGGGUGGACACACAAGAGCAGAAUCUCCGUGGGACAUCUCUUUGGAGCAUCAAUAUUACUACAGUAUUUGGAAGACACAAAUUUAAAUAAUUUCUAAGGUAAAGAAUGGAACAUUUAAGACAAGGCUGGAAAGUCAUCUGCCUUUAAUAAC